CAUAGGUGAACCUGCGGAAGGAUCAUUACCGAGUGAGGGCCCUCUGGGUCCAACCUCCCACCCGUGUAUAUUUACCUUGUUGCUUCGGCGAGCCUGCCUUUUGGCUGCCGGGGGACGUCAGUCCCCGGGUCCGUGCUCGCCGGAGACACCUUAGAACUCUGUCUGAAGAUUGUAGUCUGAGAUUAAAUAUAAAUUAUUUAAAACUUUCAACAACGGAUCUCUUGGUUCCGGCAUCGAUGAAGAACGCAGCGAAAUGCGAUACGUAAUGUGAAUUGCAGAAUUCAGUGAAUCAUCGAGUCUUUGAACGCACAUUGCGCCCUCUGGUAUUCCGGAGGGCAUGCCUGUCCGAGCGUCAUUGCUGCCCUCAAGCACGGCUUGUGUGUUGGGCCCCGUCCUCCUUCCGGGGGACGGGUCCGAAAGGCAGCGGCGGCACCGCGUCCGGUCCUCAAGCGUAUGGGGCUUUGUCACUCGCUUUGUAGGCCUGGCCGGCGCUUGCCGAUCAACCAAACUUUUUAUCAGGUUGACCUCGGAUCAGGUAGGGAUACCCGCUGAACUUAAGCAUAUCAAUAAGCGGAGGAAAAGAAACCAACAGGGAUUACCUCAGUAACGGCGAGUGAAGCGGUAAGAGCUCUUAUUUGAAAGCUGGCUCCUUCGGGGUCCGCAUUGUAAUUUGCAGAGGAUGCAACGGGAGCGGUCCCCAUCUAAGUGCCCUGGAACGGGACGUCAUAGAGGGUGAGAAUCCCGUAUGGGAUGGGGUGUCCGCGCCCGUGUGAAGCUCCUUCGACGAGUCGAGUUGUUUGGGAAUGCAGCUCUAAAUGGGUGGUAAAUUUCAUCUAAAGCUAAAUAUUGGCCGGAGACCGAUAGCGCACAAGUAGAGUGAUCGAAAGAUGAAAAGCACUUUGAAAAGAGAGUUAAAAAGCACGUGAAAUUGUUGAAAGGGAAGCGCUUGCGACCAGACUCGCUCGCGGGGUUCAGCCGGCAUUCGUGCCGGUGUACUUCCCCGCGAGCGGGCCAACGUCGGUUUGGGCGGUCAGUCAAAGGCCCCUGGAAGGUAACGCCCCCUCGGGGGCGUCAUAUAGCCAGGGGUGCAAUGUGGCCUGCCUGGACCGAGGAACGCGCUUCGGCUCGGA
rnacentral:rRNA from 1 species